CACAGUGUGACUGCAACCAGAGAGACAGCUUAGCUGUGCCCAGAACCAUGAAGUGACAAGAUAGACUGCUGUUCCAUGCUGCUGCAUUGAGUUGGGUCCCUGCCACACGGAACCAAACGCCCUCUUCACACGAUGACUUAGAUCGCAUUCUUACCUGUGAGGCUUGUCUGGGCAGCUGAUGGAAAUACGGCGAUGAGAGUCAAAGCUCCUGCGUGCGCAAACACACCUGCACCCAGCCUCGCCACUCUCAGGAUGGUCGCUAAGGUGGUGGACGUUCUCCAGGGAGUCUGAAAUGAAGAAACUGAGGCACAGAAUGAUCCAGUCACUUACUCAAGACCACAGAGCUUACAGGAGGUGGCGGCACUAGGUCUGAACUAGACCAGCCGACUCUAGAACCAGAGCAGUUACAAGUGCAGGAAGUGAAUUUACAGUUGAAUUAUCUGCUUUUAACUAAGUGCUCUUCUCACAUUAGAGGAGUGCCUGGAAGAAUCCAUGCAAAAAAACUGUGAGGUAGCUGUUCAUACUAAUAUAUAUGUCUAUAUAUUUGCAUAUUCUAAUGAUGCAAACACAACCCAUCAACAAGAUGACAGCAGAGCCACAAACCUGUAAAGUGAGGGGGAAUCCUUUGUGAACCUCAAUGAGACAAAGCAAUUGAUAAUCUAAGCAGAUCUAAUAUGUAUAAUCUCAAUGCUCUUCUCUAGAAAUAUAAUUGAUAAUAUGUGAAACUAUAGAAAAUCAUGAAUAAAAAUAAUUUUGCAGUCAAAGUGGUGGGAGAUCACUGGCAUACAUACAGAAGGAAAAACUGAACCUUGGGCACUGAGCUGGAUCAUUGAGUCCAGUAAAUACCAGGAACAUUCAGGUAGUUAAAUAUUUGGGGCUUGUUCCUAUGAUCUGUACAAUUGCUAUUUCUUCUUUGUUUUUAAAUGUUCUGAACAAUGCAUAGUUCUGGCAUUGUAAGCACUCCCUGGAAGUUACUUGCAAGUCAUUGUAAAUCGUGUCUCACCACGUCUAUACCCCGACCAACAGCAUCAGCAUUUCCGUGGAACUAGUUAUGCAAAUUUUUUACCUCACCCCAGAUCUAGGAAGAAAG